rnacentral:rRNA from 1 species
UUGACCUCAAAUCAGGUAGGAUUACCCGCCUAACUUAAGCAUAUCAAUAAGCGGAGGAAAAGAAACUAACAAGG